GUCCUCGGGCGCAGCGGCGGUGGCAGCAGCGGCGCCCCUCUGGGUGACUUGGCCGUGAGAAAGUGAAAGGAGCCCGCAGGCGGCGGCGACAGCUGCGCUGGGAGGGGCUUGUUUCCAGGCUCAGAGGCCCCGCGCACUCUGCGGGUGCGGAGCGAGCUUUUCGGUGUGCACUGUGACAACCACAAACACACUUUUGAACGUAGUGGGGCUUGGCUGCUGCGAGUUACGCAGGUAUCCUGGAGAGGCAGGGCACCCGGGGACACGGAUGACUCGAGGCCGACUUCGGGUGGCUCUCUCUGCUCCUUCCUGUGGGGGUGAAGACGCCCGGGUCCUCGCCGGCCCGUGCGCAGGGGAGCGGGACCGAGGAGCGCUCUCGCUCCGUCCUGCGGCGUCCCGCGCCCAGGUGCACAUCGGGGAGCUGGGGACGCAGGCGACUCAGGCAGUUUCUGGGAGUCGUUCUUACGUCAUCAUGUCACGGGCAGAACAGGGCAGAGCGCCCGCCUUUCUCGCAAAACCCUCCUGUCCCUUGUGUACUUACACUGUUACAAGUAAAGACUUCCCCAAGUGACCAAAUUUUAGAGCAUUACAGUAAAAUUGGUACUUGCAGAUGCCUCAGCUUGAUUCCUUAAUUGAUACGUAUCUAGCCACAACUUUAAACUACCGAGGGACGAUGUAAGACUGCUGUGUCGCUUUUCUUUCCUUCAAAUAAACUUUUACUCGGUACCUGUUCUUGGCAAUUAGACUGCGUUAAUCACAGCCACAAAGACGUGGAAAUGUCUGCCGUCAAGAAAUUGGAAAUCGUAUCGAGAACCCAGACUGGCAAGCCUGUUGCUAACCAACCUGCCAGGAGACCUUUCAACUGGGCAAAAUGUGCUUUCACUUUGUUCCAGGUCAAAUGGGUAAAGUAGCUGGAAAGUAUUGUGUGGGCAAAUCAGACAUGUUGAAUUGCUAAUGAAGUAAAAACAGGAGCAGACAGAAUUCCUGGAACUGAAAUAGCUUCGAGAUAUCUGGUUAGAAACAGUAGUGAUGUGCCUACUUUUUUCUCAACCCUCUACGCCCUCAUGAUUCAUCACUGAGGUCAAGGAUAUCCUAUGAAAAUUGGAGUUUUUGUAUUCCAUGAAGGCUUUUGUUGUAUCUGUGCUGUCGAUGAAUUCUAGGUCUUUUCAGUCUAGUGGUAGAAGGCCCAAUUUCAGUCUGACCUGUUUCAAGGUAAGGAAUAAAUGUUAUUCACGAAUGAAAUAUACAGGCACACAAAAUGAGAUGUGAAAAGUAUAUGUUUCACCAACUAAUUCAGGGAAAAAGAAAUGUUUGCGUUAUCAAAGCUGUUUCUCAUCUACUAAAAGUUAAAAUUAAGGAGAGUGACAGAUCUCUACAUGAGUAGACAGAAAGUAAUUGAUAGUGUCAGGAUAUUAAUUCAUGAAAAUAUUAGUACACUCGGAUUAUCUACAAAAAGCUUAGAAACUCAGCUGUACUGCAUCUAAAGCCAAGGCAUAGCUCUAACAAAAUGUUUUAUAGAAUGUACCUGCAAGUAGAGUAACAGCCCCAAAGAUAUGGAGGAGACAUUGAUACAUCAAAAAUUGUAACCUGUGUGUGUAUGUGUGUGUGUGUGUAUUGUGUUUCCCUUACAGUCAUUACUAGAAUCCAUUUUGGGAACUGAGCAGUGUGGCCAGGAAAUAUAGAUUAAAUGGAUAUUUAAGGAAGCAAAUCUGUUGCCCCUCAGUUGCUACAACCAUUUUAUCCAGAGUCCCCUAGUGUGACUGUCUUUUAUGCCCUUUUUUUCACAUUUAAAUAAAUUGUUUUUACUCUCUUGUCUUAAACUGUUUUAUAAACUUAUCGUACAGAUGAUACUUUCAAUCCUUUGGAAAGUUAUCACCAUGAAAAUUGUGAGUAAAAGUAGGCUGAUAUCGGAGGAGUCAUAAUACAGAAUGAGUAGUAUUUUUAUUUAAUACCCAUUGGAAC
rnacentral:lncRNA from 1 species